AAAGGAAUUUUUCACAAAUUUUGGAGAUUUUUGGGGUUUUUCUCCUCCCAUUCAUUCCAAACUUUUGCUGGCUCCAAUUUGGACUGGUCUGAACUGGUCUGGACUGGUCUGAACUGGUUUGAACUGGUUUUAUUGGUCUGAACUGGUUUGGACUGGUUUGAACUGGGACUGGCUCCCCAUUUGAUCCAAUAACAACAAGAAAAUAAAGGAAUUUUGCACAAAUUUUGGGAUUUUUCUCGUCCCAUUUAUUCCGACUUUCUGGAAGUUCCAGUUUGGACUGGUCUGAACUGGUUUGGACUGGUCUGAACUGGGAAUGACUCCAAGAAACAAGAAGAAAAUAAAGGAAUUUUUCACAAAUUUUUGAGUUUUUCCCCUUCCAUUUAUUCCAAAUUUCUGCUGGUUCCAGUUUGGGGCGGCAUGAACUGGUUUUUAAUGGUUUGGACUGGUUUGAACUGGGAAUGGCUCCCAGUUUGAUCCAAUAUCUGUAAGAAAAUAAAGGAAUUUUUCACAAAUUUUUGAGUUUUUUUAUCCUCCCAUUUAUCCCAAAUUUCUGGAGGCUCCAGUUUGAACUGGUCUGAACUGGUCUGAACUGGUUUUUACUGGUUUGGACUGGUUUAAAAUGGGAAUGACUCCAAGAAACAACAAGAAAAUAACAGAAUUUUAAACAGAUUUUGGAGAUUUUGGGGGUUUUUCUCCUCCCAUUUAUUCCAAACUUCUGCUGGUUCCAGUUUGGACUGGUCCGAACUGGUUUGUACUGGUUUUUGCCGUUUUUUGCUGUUUUUUGCCGUUUUUUGGCGCUCUCAGGAGUGCAGGAAUCGGUUGAAGGCGUUGUAGGCGGACUCGAGGUCGAAGAGCAUCUGGCGCACCU
rnacentral:lncRNA from 1 species